GCCCCUAUGGGGUGACCCAUACCGAUUUUUAGAAAUUGUUUUAAAAAGAUGAAAUCCGGCACAAUGAUACUUAAUGACUGCUAAUUAAAGAAUAUGAAGUUAAAAGUGAACAAAGUGCAACCAGACCAAAGUGACCAGAGUGCAAUCAGUAUGGGGUGACCCAUACUGAUUUUUAAAAAUCGUUAUAUCGAGCUGAAAUUUGAUUUGGAGGCUGAAUAGCACAUACAUACAGCUUAGAACUUCAGGAUGUUAAAGAAGCCACUGGUCAUGGUGGUCAAGGCACAUGAUUUGUAACUAAUUCAAAAAUUUGGUACCAAAUAAUAGAAACUAUCUAACAAACUUUUAACCAUCCACAACACGGAAGUUGGUGAUCUUAUGUCGGUCAGUUCGGAAAAGAAUUUAGAAGCGGGCUCUGACUUAUUGAGUCAGGGACUAUGUCCCUGACUCGGGCUAUAUGGAGUCUGCACUGUAGGUUUUUUAAUUUCUAAAAGUUUUUAAUGUUUUUAAUUUUCGACUCUUUUGUAGUAAGCUUUUCCGGCAUCUUUAUUUAUGGUCAUGCAGACCGUGCUGUAUAUUCAUACAAACUCUGUGAUAUGCCCAGUGGGCAUUGCCCACAUGUAUAUCAAGUGCAACAAAUAAAAUAUAACCAAGAAUAAAGUGUCGUUUAUUUGUUCAUAUGUUGUUUUGUUGAAUAAAUUUACCAUGCAUGUAUAACAAUCAGUCAAAAAAUACUAAUGAUUUUAGUUUUUAAUUGAAUAAAGCUUUACAAUUAAAUAAUAUUCAUUAACUUACAAAUGCAUGUAUGUAUUUCUGUAUUUUUUAUGCUACAUAGUUGUUAUUUUAAUACUUAUUAUUGCAAAACAUGUACAACCAUAAAAAAUUAAUUGACAAAUAUGUAUGUGAUAUACAUUCGACAAUAUACGUGGUGCCAGAGAUUAUCUUAUCAAAAUAAUCCACCAAAUCUUUGAAGCAAAUAUACUUCCAAUACACAUCCACAGCAUCGAUGUCUUGGUUUUAAACGUUAGUCAUUACUACUAUUAUCGGCUAGUCGUGCUAGUCGUUAUCACCUAAAUCAAAGAAACAAGUUUCCAGCUCCAAGAAAUGACGUGUGUCUACUUAUUGUCAAUGCAUUUCUAGCCAUGAGAAAACUAAAUGAAAUGUUUCAAGAUGUAUGUCCAUUUAAGCUGACCCUACUGUACGCUUGGUUAAUUGUUAAAAGUAGGUGCAUAUACUGGGAAAAUUAUUGCCUUGCUAUUGUUGAGAAUGGAUAUUCAGCUCUUAUAAUUAAAAUGUGAUACCACUUAAAUAGGCUAGCAGUUUGGCUGUAAUAAUAAAACAAAAUUAAAAAAUAUGCUGGAUAUAUUUUCCUAAUUCGACGA